UACGUAGGGUGCGAGCGUUAAUCGGAAUUAUUGGGCGUAAAGAGCGUGUAGGCGGCCAUGUAGGUCCGUUGUGAAAACUCGAGGCUCAACCUCGAGACGCCGAUGGAAACCAUGUGGCUAGAGUCCGGAAGAGGAGAGUGGAAUUCCUGGUGUAGCGGUGAAAUGCGCAGAUAUCAGGAAGAACACCCGUGGCUAAGGCGGCUCUCUAGUACGGUACUGACGCUGAGACGCGAAAGCGUGGGGAGCGAACAGG
rnacentral:rRNA from 1 species